UACGGAGGGUGCAAGCGUUAAUCGGAAUUACUGGGCGUAAAGCGUGCGCAGGCGGUUUGUUAAGUCCGCUGUGAAAUCCCCGAGCUCAACUUGGGAAUUGCAGUGGAUACUGGCAGGCUGGAGUACGGUAGAGGAAGGUGGAAUUCCCGGUGUAGCAGUGAAAUGCGUAGAGAUCGGGAGGAACACCGGUGGCGAAGGCGGCAUCCUGGACCAACACUGACGCUGAGGAGCGAAAGCCAGGGGAGCAAACGGG
rnacentral:rRNA from 1 species